rnacentral:rRNA from 1 species
AGCAGCCGCGGUAAUUCCAGCUCCAAUAGCGUAUAUUAAAGUUGUUGCAGUUAAAAAGCUCGUAGUUGAAUUUCGGGAUUUGUCAGUUGGUCGGGCUUCACUGUCCGUAUUAACUUGAUGGAUUCUUACCUUCUGAAUAACCAGCAUGCUAUUAAGUUAGUGCGUUGGGGAAGCAGAUCUAUUACCUUGAAAAAAUUAGAGUGCUUAAAGCGAGCUAGUGCUUGAAUAGAUUAGCAUGGAAUAAUAAAAUAGGACGGCAUGGUUCUAUUUUGUUGGUUUCUAGGAUCACCGUAAUGGUUAAUAGGGAUUAGUUGGGGGCAUUGGUAUUCAAUUGUCAGAGGUGAAAUUCUUGGAUUUAUUGAAGACUAACUUCUGCGAAAGCAUUUGCCAAGGAUGUUUUCAUUAAUCAAGAACGAAAGUUAGGGAAUCGAAGACGAUCAGAUACCGUCGUAGUCUUAACCAUAAACUAUGCCGACUAGGAGUCGGACGAUGUUAAUUUUAUAAUGACUCG